UCAGGCCUAACACAUGCAAGUCGAGGGGUAGAACAUUUCGGUGUUUGAGACCGGCGCACGGGUGCGUAACGCGUAUGCAACCUACCUUUUACAGGGGAAUAGCCCAGAGAAAUUUGGAUUAAUGCCCCAUGGUAUAUUUAGAUGGCAUCAUCCGAUUAUUAAAGUUCCAACGGUAAAAGAUGGGCAUGCGUCCUAUUAGUUAGAUGGUAAGGUAACGGCUUACCAUGGCAACGAUAGGUAGGGGUCCUGAGAGGGAGAUCCCCCACACUGGUACUGAGACACGGACCAGACUCCUACGGGAGGCAGCAGUGAGGAAUAUUGGACAAUGGGCGCAAGCCUGAUCCGGCCAUGCCGCGUGCAGGAAGAAGCAUCUAUGGUGUUAAGGUGCUUUUGUACGGGAAGAAACACUCCUACGGUAGGAGCUGAC
rnacentral:rRNA from 1 species